rnacentral:rRNA from 1 species
ACCUACGGGACGCAGCAGUGAGGAAUAUUGGUCAAUGGGCGCAAGCCUGAACCAGCCAAGUCGCGUGAGGGAAGACGGCCCUACGGGUUGUAAACCUCUUUUGCCGGGGAGCAAGCCUGAGCACGUGUGCCCAGGCGGAGAGUACCCGGAGAAAAAGCAUCGGCUAACUCCGUGCCAGCAGCCGCGGUAAUACGGAGGAUGCGAGCGUUAUCCGGAUCUAUUGGGUUUAAAGGGUGCGUAGGCGGGAUGCCAAGUCAGCGGUCAAAUACGGGGGCUCAACCUGCGUCCGCCGUUGAAACUGGCGU